rnacentral:rRNA from 1 species
UACAGGGGGUGCAAACGUUGCUCGGAAUCAUUGGGCGUAAAGCGCACGUAGGCGGUUCGUUAUGUCGGAUGUGAAAGCCCUUGGCUUAACCGAGGAAGUGCAUCCGAAACUGGCGAGCUAGAGUACUAAAGAGGAUCGCGGAAUUCCCGGUGUAGAGGUGAAAUUCGUAGAUAUCGGGAGGAACACCGGUGGCGAAGGCGGCGACCUGGGUCGAUACUGACGCUGAGGUGCGAAAGCGUGGGGAGCAAACAGG